GCAGUGGGCAGCAGGAGUGCUACCUUGUGUUCAUCGGCUGCUCCCUGAAGGAAGACAGCAUCAAGGACUGGCUGCGGCAGUCAGCUAAGCAGAAGCCUCAGAGGAAAGCCUUGAAGACCAGGGGGAUGCUGACGCAACAGGAGAUCAGGAGCAUCCACGCUCAGAGCUCUCUUCCUUCCUUAAUGAGAUACCAGUCA